rnacentral:rRNA from 1 species
GACGAACCGUGCAAACGUUGUUCGGAAUCACUGGGCUUAAAGGGCGCGUAGGCGGGCCAUCAAGUCCGGGGUGAAAUCCUCCAGCUCAACUGGAGAACAGCCCCGGAUACUGGUGGUCUCGAGUGAGGUAGGGGCAUGCGGAACUGAUGGUGGAGCGGUGAAAUGUGUUGAUAUCAUCAGGAACUCCGGUGGCGAAAGCGGCGUGCUGGACCUCUACUGACGCUGAGGCGCGAAAGCCAGGGGAGCGAAC